GCGAUAAAAGCAUAAAGUGUAUUUGCGCUGGUCUUGUAAAUCAGAGGGUGAAGGUGGAUCUUUUUAUCGUU
rnacentral:tRNA from 1 species